AAAACUUUCAACAACGGAUCUCUUGGUUCUGGCAUCGAUGUAAGAACGCAGCGAAAUGCGAUAAGUAAUGUGAAUUGCAGAAUUCCGUGAAUCAUCGAAUCUUUGAACGCACAUUGCGCCCUUUGGUAUUCCGAAGGGCAUGCCUGUUCGAGCGUCAU
rnacentral:rRNA from 1 species